rnacentral:rRNA from 1 species
UACAGAGGGGGCGAGCGUUAUUCGGAAUUAUUGGGCGUAAAGGGCGCGUAGGCGGCUUGGCAAGUCAAAGGUGAAAUCCCUCGGCUCAACCGAGGAACUGCCUUUGAAACUGCCGGGCUCGAGGCCGGGAGAGGGUAGUGGAAUUCCCAGUGUAGCGGUGAAAUGCGUAGAUAUUGGGAGGAACACCGGUGGCGAAGGCGGCUACCUGGACCGGUUCUGACGCUGAGGCGCGAAAGCGUGGGGAGCAAACAGGAUUAGAUACCCUGGUAGUCCACGCUGUAAACGAUGGGUACUCGGUGUCGCGGGUAUCGACCCCUGCGGUGCCUUAGCUAACGCGUUAAGUACCCCGCCUGGGGAGUACGGUCGCAAGGCUGAA